AUAAUAUCUUUGGCAAAGCGAUCAAAUUUCAGAUGGUGGUUGUACCAUAAGGUGGUGCUAUUCUAUUGUGGGUGGGUGUUAAUAGUUUGUAUUGCUGUAUUAAGCCGUGACAUCCAUUUUAAAGUUUGGGAUUAAGACUUUUUUUUGGAAACAUACUAUUUGUGUGAUAUUCAACGAGAAGGAAUGGCAAUAUUUGGCAUAACUAAGCAGUAUGUCUGGGCUGGCGUACCACUGACGGGGUUUCUCAUUGGCUGGUACCUCGACCGGAAAGAGACAGAGAGGCUAACGAUGUUCAGAGAUAAAAGUGCUCUUUAUGGCCGAGAACUGAAACCUGGAGAAAAGCCAUCGUGGCCAUAAUUAGUAUGUACUGUGUAGUUGUUAGCAAAUAUAUACAGUGUAUUGAAUUGUUGUUUUUGUUGAAAUGAAGUGAAAUAAUUAUUGGUUGUCCUGCAGGGAGAGUGUAAGUUAAAACAUUUAAAGUCCUUCAUUUUUACUUCUUGGUUGAAAUUACGUAUUCUUUUAUUCUUGUAUAUGAAGUAACUUUUGUACAUAAACAACAAAAAUAACUUGCUUUUGCCUUGUAAUAAAGCUUCUUAUGAAAAACAAGUAACAUGUUUAUUCUUAAACCGAAUCAACAAUUUUAGUUUGUUGGAAAAAAAAAACAGAUUUUUCUAUGAUUAGAGUGGGUACUACUUUUAACUCACAUCCACAUUGGACAUGGCAUGCUGGUGAGGUGCAGUAUGUUCAUAGAUGUAAAACAUGGCUGCAGUGUGUGACUUGCAGGACAUACUGAAUGGAAUGAACCCUAACAGUACACAGGACGUAAGAUUCAUAGCAAACUAAAGUAAGUAAUAUGUAGCAGAAAUGAGAUAUUCCAAAUUAGG